UACGGGGGGGGCAAGCGUUGUUCGGAAUUACUGGGCGUAAAGGGCUCGUAGGCGGCCUUCUAAGUCGAACGUGAAAUCCCUCGGCUCAACCGGGGAACUGCGUCUGAGACUGGAAGGCUUGAAUCCGGGAGAGGGAUGUGGAAUUCCAGGUGUAGCGGUGAAAUGCGUAGAUAUCAGGAGGAACACCGGUGGCGAAGGCGGGUCUCUGGGCCGAUACUGACGCUGAGGAGCGAAAGCGUGGGGAGCGAACAGG
rnacentral:rRNA from 1 species